rnacentral:rRNA from 1 species
AGCGAACGCUGGCGGCAGGCUUAACACAUGCAAGUCGAACGCCCGGGCAACCGGGAGUGGCAGACGGGUGAGUAACGCGUGGGAACAUGCCCUUUGGUUCGGAAUAACUCAGGGAAACUUGAGCUAAUACCGGAUAAGCCCUUAUGGGGAAAGAUUUAUCGCCGAAGGAUUGGCCCGCGUCCGAUUAGUUAGUUGGUGAGGUAAUGGCUCACCAAGGCGACGAUCGGUAGCUGGUCUGAGAGGAUGAUCAGCCACACUGGGACUGAGACACGGCCCAGACUCCUACGGGAGGCAGCAGUGUGGAAUAUUGGACAAUGGGCGCAAGCCUGAUCCAGCCAUGCCGCGUGAGUGAUGAAGGCCUUAGGGUUGUAAAGCUCUUUCGGCGGGGACGAUAAUGACGGUACCCGCAGAAGAAGCCCCGGCUAACUUCGUGCCAGCCGCCGCAGUAAAAC